GACGAACGCUGGCGGCGUGCUUAACACAUGCAAGUCGAACGAAGAGCGAUGGAAGCUUGCUUCUAUCAAUCUUAGUGGCGAACGGGUGAGUAACGCGUAAUCAACCUGCCCUUCAGAGGGGGACAACAGUUGGAAACGACUGCUAAUACCGCAUACGAUCUAAUCUCGGCAUCGAGGAUAGAUGAAAGGUGGCCUCUACAUGUAAGCUAUCACUGAAGGAGGGGAUUGCGUCUGAUUAGCUAGUUGGAGGGGUAACGGCCCACCAAGGCGAUGAUCAGUAGCCGGUCUGGGAGGAUGAACGGCCACAUUGGGACUGAGACACGGCCCCGGCUCCUACGGGAGGCAGCAGUGGGGGAUCUUCCGCAAUGGACGAAAGUCUGACGGAGCAACGCCGCGUGAGCGAUGACGGCCUUCGGGUUGUAAAGCUCUGUUAAUCGGGACGAAAGGCCUUCUUGCGAAUAGUGAGAAGGAUUGACGGUACCGGAAUAGAAAGCCACGGCUAACUACGUG
rnacentral:rRNA from 1 species